rnacentral:misc_RNA from 1 species
UCUCCGUAGGUGAACCUGCGGAGGGAUGAUUACUGAGUGAGGGUUUAACCGCCCGACCUCCAACCCUUUGUGAACCAAACUUGUUGCUUCGGGGGCGACCCUGCCGCUUCGGCGGUGCGGCGCCCCCGGAGGCCAUUAAACACUGCAUCAUUGCGUCGGAGUUAAAGUAAAUUAAACAAAACUUUCAACAACAGAUCUCUUGGUUCGGGCAUCGAUGAAGAACGCAGC